AUCCCUAAUCCCAAACGAGCACUGUUCUUCUUCUCCCAGCGAAUCCAAGCCCCAUUCCAGCCCAAAUCCAUGGCGAGUGAACCCAAUCUCCAACCACGCGUUCCCUCCCUCUCUCCUCUUGCCAGAUUCUAACCGUCUCUAACAAAAUCCCUCUCCCUCACAUGCUCUUUUCAAUUUCAUUUCGGAUUUUCACCUUUUGGAUGAUAUAUGGAAAAAUGGGGGGCGUUAGAUUGGGUUGGAGUUAAUCUAAUCCUUCCAUUUGUCCCUCUCUCAUCAGAAACGGGGUGAAAAUCUGUUUGGGGAGAAAAUUUUUCGUUUUGGGGAUUUCUUGGAGAUAAAGGCAGAAGGUUCGAGAAGCUUGGAGAUAUAUAAGGUGAGGUCAUUUCUUGGGUAAGAGGGAUUUUCAGGGAGAUUUUUUUUAGUUUUCAGAAAUUAGAGAGAAAAUUAAAAAAAAAAUUGAAAAGCUCGGGUUCGAAAAGGUGUUCUGUUUUUCUGAUUUUCAUCCUUCUCCUUUAGUUUCAAAUUCAUAGAUACAUAUGUAAGAAAAGAUGUUGAGUGUGCUGGAUUUUUAUUUUUUUUUAUUUGGUGUUGAUUGCUGUUUAAAAGAGUGAUAGUAUAUAGAUGUUCAGAUCUUCUCUUCGUCUGAGUUUUCUGGAAAAAAUGGAACUCGUUUGAAAGGCUGUUGAGUUCACUGCUGUUCGCGGGUUCGAGUUCGAUUCGCUGUUGUCUUCUCGUUCAAAUUUUAGACUUGAGUCUCGCUCAGUUAAGUUAUUGUAAUUGCUGAGAUCCGAUUAAUUGAAAACUCUCAUUGAGGUCCGUUUCUGAUUCCCUCUUAUUCUUUUGGUGUGAUUUUAGUAUGAUAGGAGUUUGGCAUAAUCGAUUAGUAUAGAUUUAAAUGUGGUUUGCCUAGUACUGAGCUGAUUUUGUUUGCCACAGAUUUCUAAGAUGCUCUGUUCUCUUCUUGUGCUGGAACUUUGUUUUAGUUUCGAAUCUGAUUGUUUGUCGAAUGCGUUUGAUGAAAGUCAGAUUUGAUUUUUGGUCGUUCGAGUUAGUGAAACACGUCAUUUGCUGUUAGAAUCAGUUUGAUAAAGAAAUUUAUCACUGUUCAAAUGAUCCAUGGUUUAGUAAUGUGUUUUCUUGAACUUGUUGUAAGUGUUGGGAUUCAGUUUGUUGGUAUAAGCUCGAAACGAGUUCUAUAAGCCCUGUUUGAUGUGUUUCUUUCCUUUCAUCUUGUCAUUCUGCCGAAUAGGACCAUAUUCUGGAGGCUUCCGCUUUUCUGUUAGGAUAUGCUAGUAAUUUAACUAAAAUCAGUUUGAAUUCGUGUCAGCUUCGCGCUAGAUUUAUUUUUUUCUUGACGAUUCGAGUUUGAAACUAUCCUAAUUCAUUUGUUGAUCGAGAUCCAUGUGUGCUUCUUUGAUAUGGUUUGAGUUGCUUGUGACUUUCAUCUUUCAAGAUUCCAAAAGAUAAGCUAAAAAAACCACUGAUCUGAGUUCAAAGUUGCGAUUCCGGUUUGAGUUCGAAGGUUGAGGUUUCCCGUUUCUAUUUGGAGGUUCCGGCUGAGUUCUUUGUUGUGGAUUCAUCCAAUUUAUUUCAUUUUGUUUGCUGUAAUUUGCUUGGGAUUGCUGUUUUCUUGGAGCUUCUCCAUCACUGAUUCAUUUAUAGUCAGUAGUUGUGGCUCCAUUCGCAGAUACUAGCACACGCCUCUAAAUCUGCGUUCUUAUUUUUGAGAAGAUUGAAUCUCUCCUUUCUUCAAUGAACUCCUUACUAUUUGUUGAUUUUUGUUUGACUGAUUUUGUAUAGAGUCAAGUAACAUGUCCAAAUUUCAAUUUGUUUGUGAGAUCCAUUCGAGUUCGAGUCAUAUAGAGUUCGAAUCAAUUUGGUUGUGCAACUAUUAAUAUAGAAAUUGGGUUUUCACCUUCAAUCGCUCCUGUUUCUGAUUUCAUAGAUAGUACAGUAGUAAAUCAAUUUGAAUCAUACAAAUGGAAACUGUUUUCCUUAUGUUAUUCUAACAAGAUUGAGCAGCAGAUUGAGCCGAUAACGUUCAGUAUUUUGGGACAUUUGUUUUGACUGAUAGCCAACUGAAAAGCUGCCCUGUUUUGCACUAUUUAGGCAGCAGAUUUGCGCAGUUUUGAGCAACAGAUUCUGCACUGUUAGCCCUCGUUAUUGAAUCUGUCUUGGUUUAAUUGAAAUCUCUCAUGUGUGACCAUGUACGAAGGCUAUUCUAUUUUGUCAAGUCAUGGAUAGGUUUCUGUGAAUUCCAUUUCUGUUGUAGCAUGUUCAAUUUCCUUCUUAGAAGUGUGGUUGAUGAAUUGAUUCGCUCGUUGAAAUAGAUUCAUUACAGUAUAUUAGCUUUUAAUUCCCUGCAACAGUAGUGAUGGUUGACUACUGUUUAGUGAGGUAAGUAGUUAAUUGAAUAGAUCUUUAGUUAGUCGAGGUGUGCCAUCCGAAACAAUAAUAAGUUAUGGCCCUUCAAAAUUUAGUUUGAAUUCUCUUUGAAAAAAAUAGAAUUGGGGUGUGCCGUGCCAAACAAAAGUCUCAAUUGCAUGGCCCUCGUUUUAAUUAAUCUUGAAUUGAUCCUUAGAAUUCGAGGCGUGCCAUUUAGUAAAUUUCAUGGUCCUCGCAAAGUUACAAACGCGUAGUUGCUUUAGGCGCGUUAUUUUAAUAAUUGAUUUCCUUAAACUCGGGUGCGCAUUUAUGUGACCCAAAUCCAAAUCUUAACGUUAGAUAAAAUGUGCUGCGGACUGCGGGUGCGUUAUGUGACGCGGUUCAAAACAUAUUUUAAAUAACGUUGCAAUCUUCUUUAAAAAAUGAAUAAAAGCGGUUAAAGUUAAAAUUUGCACAUAGGUUCAAAAUGUUCUAAAAUCAGAUAAUUAAGCCAAAUAUAACAGUUGAGCGACCGUGCUAAAACCACGGAACUCGGGAAUGCCUAACACCUUCUCCCGGGUUAACAGAAUUCCUUACCCGGAUUUCUGGUUCGCGGACUGUUAAACAGAGUCGACCUUUCCUCGAUUCGGGAUUUGAACCGGUGACUUGGGACACCAUUAAAUAUCCUAAGUGGCGACUCUGAAUUUUAAUUGAAAUAAUCUCGUUUCGAUUGUCCUUUAAUUGGAAAAACUCCUUUAUACCCUUCCGGGGGUAGUAAAUCAUGUGCUGGGAGCACGUGAUUUUUGCCCUAUAUGAAUUACUCCCAUAAAUUCAAAACAAAAUAAUUUCUUUCAGUGUUUGCAAUUUCGUGGAUUUUCGUGACAUUUUCUGUUAAUUGUUUGCAUUUUUGUUUGUGCAUUUUAAUUAGUGAAAAAUACAAAAUAUAUGUGCAUGUGCAUUUAGGAGUUAAUUUUGUAUUUUAGGAAUUAAUUAGUCAUUAAUUUUUAUAAAAUGAAAAAGUCUCAAAAAUAGUUUAUUUUAAUUUUAAUUUUGAAUUUAGCGUAGUUUGUCCUUUAAUUUGGUUUAGUUAAUAAUAGUAGUUAGGAGUUAAUUGUUUUGUAAAUUGUUAUUUAGGUUUUUUAUUUUAAUUUUGAAAAAAAAAAGAGAAAAGGAAAAGGAAUUUUGGAUAAUUUGUCUUAAAAUGAAAAUGGAAUGAAUGAGACUAGAAAUUGGGUCAAAUUUUGGUUUAAAGUACUCGGCCCAAACGGAUUCCUCUCCCCAAGCCAAACAGAACCCGCCCCAUCUGAGCCAAAACCCGUUCCCCAAGCCGGCUAGCCCCCUCCCUUCCCAAACGGCGUAGUUAUGGGGCAAAACUACGUCGUUCACCCGUUAACCUCCAUUUAACGACUAACCCUUCCUCCUAUUUUCAUUAAUCCGCAUCUCCUGAGCCCAAAACCUAAUCCCCUCUCUGAAAUCACCGCCCCUUUCCACCAUAGCUCCGUCGUUCGGAAAUCGCCUCACGGCGGCGGAGCACUUCAAACCCAUCCAAAUUUCGACUAGACAACCCCCAUCGUCCCCUCUUUCAUGUCCUGCCACCAUUUUUUCCAAAAGACCACUGGAUUUUUUCGAAUUUCAGAUCAAAGAUUAAAAAUCCAAGCUUUCUUCUUUUUGCCUAAAAUUUUCGGAUUACAUCCUCAGUUCGUGUUAAAACCUGCAUGAAUUCCUCAGUUUUCAUCAAAAAGGGGGCCAUUUCAUGUCAAGAACGCAUUUUCCCUUGUUUCUGACCCGAUUUCAGACACUCAGCCUCAACGAUCCAAUUUCUUCAAGAUUCCGCCUCGUUCCUUUCCUGGCUCGUGAUGAGAAUUGCGGCACGAAUUAUUAGCUAUGAACAAAAGUUUUCCUAAUAUUCGUGUUACAAUUCUCGCCAUUUGGUCAAGCUUUUGAAUUCGCUGGAGUUUCGAUGUCGGGUCAGCCUCGUCUUUGAGGAUUCUGAUGUUUAAAAUAGAUUGUAUAGGUAUUUUCUGUUCCCUUGGUAUUUUUCUGCCUUGUUCUUUUUUUUUUGUUUCAAUCUUUAGUCAUCAUUUUCUUCUCCUUUUCUAUAGGAUUAAGUUAGAUAUGCUAGUUAAUAACUUAGUGUUAAUUUCAGGCUAAAGCAUUUUAAAAAAAGAAAAGAAAAGGAAUUUGAUUAAUUGUGUGUGUUGUCGCUGUCCUAAAUUGGACUUUUAAUUCCCUUGAGUUUUGUUUGUUUGGGCUGGGCUUGGGGUCUGUUGUUUACUAGCCCGUUGCUUGAAGGAAACAUGCCCGUUAGCCCAAGUUUAAAAUUGGUUUUGGGUCAAUCUGACCCUGCUUUGUCUUAAGAGUAAAUAACAGGGUUUGGGGGGAUAAUUUAGGUAAUUGGCUCAGGGAAUCUCUCACAUAACGGUUUGAGAAACUUCUAGGAAGAUGGGUGGGGGGUCUAAUGUGAUUUUCAGAUUUUUAAUAAGGAUAUCUAGACAAAAACAAAAAUUUGAAAAGGGCUAGAAUGCAAAAUCAAAAUUUGAAGUUUGCCCUAUUUACUUGCCUAUAAAGGCACCUUUUCUUGCUUUGGAAGGCAGACUUCAAGAGAAAAAAUUCUGAAAAUACUCACGGCUGAAACUUUGAAAUUGUUCCAUUGAUUUCUCGGUUUUGAGCGUUGAAGUUUUCAGUGAUUGAAACAUUUUCUGAUUCUUUCCAUGUUUAAGAUGACUUAAAUUUGGAUUUCUUAAAGUUUUGGGUUGGAUUCUGUUGGGUAGCUACUGUUCCAUUGGCUUUAAUUGGCCAUUUUUGUUGUUUUACUGAGUUUGGGUGUUGAAUCUUGUUGCUACUCUGCUGUUGUAGAUCACUGACCCCUUACAUUUUGAUUUCUUUUCAAUUUCCAGAUAUUGUUCAUUCCUUUGACCAAUGAAAUGAAGAAGCCAAGUAUUUGUUGGAAGUUGGAAAUACAUGAGCAUUAGUUUUCAGCAUAUGUUUUGUUUUCUACACUUCUGAAAAUCAUCCCAUUUCAGUUUUGAGAUCAUUUGCAGUGUUAAACGAAUCAUGUGCUCCAAAUUAUUAGUGAUUUGCGUGAAUCUUAAUGUUCAGAUUUGUAUAAAAGGACUCCAAAGGACUAUUAUAGUGUAACGUGGAUCAGAAUGCUUAAGCUUUUGGUUUUUUUUUUUUGCUUAUUAUCUGUUGAUAUCAACAUCAUUAGUAUGAGUUCCAUUUGAAGGGUGUAAUUCAGACUCUUAUUGUUUCUUAGAUUAACCUAUAAGAUUGAUAUUUACCAUUCACAUGUCUUGAGCAAAAAUGCCCAAAUAGCAUGAAACUGUCUGUUAAAGAACAGCUCCAGAAAUCUGAGUUAAGCAUAUGGUUACUCGAUACUUGUUUAAUUCUUAAUCUCCAAAUGUUUCUAUGUUCGUCCCUAUUGUAAUAGUUAAAACAGAAGGUAAAUGGGAAAUUUGUGUGCACGUUUCAUGGG
rnacentral:lncRNA from 1 species